AACGUACGCUGGCGGCACGCCUAACACAUGCAAGUCGAACGCAGUAGCAAUACUGAGUGGCAGACGGGUGAGUAACAUGUGGGAAUCUGCCUUGUGGUUCAGGACAACAUUGGGAAACCGAUGCUAAUACUGGAUAAGCCCUUACGGGGAAAGUUUUAAUGCCAUAAGAUGAGCCCGCAUUUGAUUAGUUAGUUGGUGAGGUAAUGGCUCACCAAGACAAUGAUCAAUAGCUGAUCUAAGAGGAUGAUCAGCCACACUGGGACUGAGACACGGCCCAGACUACUACGAGAGGCAGCAGUGGGGAAUCUUGCACAAUGGAGGAAACUCUGAUGCAGAGAUGCCGCGUGAGUGAAGAAGGCCUUUGGGUUGUAGAGCUCUUUUGUAGGGGAAGAUAAUGACUGUACCCUAAGAAUAAGGUCCGGCUAACUUCGUGCCAGCCGCCGCCGUAA
rnacentral:rRNA from 1 species